rnacentral:rRNA from 1 species
UUAAGCGACUAAGCGUACACGGUGGAUGCCCUGGCAGUCAGAGGCGAUGAAGGACGUGCUAAUCUGCGAAAAGCGUCGGUAAGGUGAUAUGAACCGUUAUAACCGGCGAUGUCCGAAUGGGGAAACCCAGUGCAAUUCGUUGCACUAUCGUUAACUGAAUACAUAGGUUAACGAGGCGAACCGGGGGAACUGAAACAUCUAAGUACCCCGAGGAAAAGAAAUCAACCGAGAUUCCCCCAGUAGCGGCGAGCGAACGGGGAGCAGCCCAGAGUCUGAAUCAGCUUGUGUGUUAGUGGAACGGUCUGGAAAGUCCGACGGUACAGGGUGAUAGUCCCGUACACCAAAAUGCACAGGCUGUGAACUCGAAGAGUAGGGCGGGACACGUGGUAUCCUGUCUGAAUAUGGGGGGACCAUCCUCCAAGGCUAAAUACUCCUGACUGACCGAUAGUGAACCAGUACCGUGAGGGAAAGGCGAAAAGAACCCCGGCGAGGGGAGUGAAAAAGAACCUGAAACCGUGUACGUACAAGCAGUGGGAGCACCUUCGGGUGUGACUGCGUACCUUUUGUAUAAUGGGUCAGCGACUUAUAUUCUGUAGCAAGGUUAACCGUAUAGGGGAGCCGCAGGGAAACCGAGUCUUAACUGGGCGUUAAGUUGCAGGGUAUAGACCCGAAACCCGGUGAUCUAGCCAUGGGCAGGUUGAAGGUUGGGUAACACUAACUGGAGGACCGAACCGACUAAUGUUGAAAAAUUAGCGGAUGACUUGUGGCUGGGGGUGAAAGGCCAAUCAAACCGGGAGAUAGCUGGUUCUCCCCGAAAGCUAUUUAGGUAGCGCCUCGUGAAUUCAUCUUCGGGGGUAGAGCACUGUUUCGGCUAGGGGGUCAUCCCGACUUACCAACCCGAUGCAAACUACGAAUACCGAAGAAUGUUAUCACGGGAGACACACGGCGGGUGCUAACGUCCGUCGUGAAGAGGGAAACAACCCAGACCGCCAGCUAAGGUCCCAAAGUCAUGGUUAAGUGGGAAACGAUGUGGGAAGGCACAGACAGCCAGGAUGUUGGCUUAGAAGCAGCCAUCAUUUAAAGAAAGCGUAAUAGCUCACUGGUCGAGUCGGCCUGCGCGGAAGAUGUAACGGGGCUAAACCAUGCACCGAAGCUGCGGCAGCGACACUAUGUGUUGUUGGGUAGGGGAGCGUUCUGUAAGCCUGCGAAGGUGUGCUGUGAGGCAUGCUGGAGGUAUCAGAAGUGCGAAUGCUGACAUAAGUAACGAUAAAGCGGGUGAAAAGCCCGCUCGCCGGAAGACCAAGGGUUCCUGUCCAACGUUAAUCGGGGCAGGGUGAGUCGGCCCCUAAGGCGAGGCCGAAAGGCGUAGUCGAUGGGAAACAGGUUAAUAUUCCUGUACUUGGUGUUACUGCGAAGGGGGGACGGAGAAGGCUAUGUUAGCCGGGCGACGGUUGUCCCGGUUUAAGCAUGUAGGCUGGUUGUCCAGGCAAAUCCGGAUAAUCAAGGCUGAGGUGUGAUGACGAGGCACUACGGUGCUGAAGUAACAAAUGCCCUGCUUCCAGGAAAAGCCUCUAAGCAUCAGGUAACAUCAAAUCGUACCCCAAACCGACACAGGUGGUCAGGUAGAGAAUACCAAGGCGCUUGAGAGAACUCGGGUGAAGGAACUAGGCAAAAUGGUGCCGUAACUUCGGGAGAAGGCACGCUGGUGUGUAGGUGAAGUCCCUGCGGAUGGAGCUGAGACCAGUCGAAGAUACCAGCUGGCUGCAACUGUUUAUUAAAAACACAGCACUGUGCAAACACGAAAGUGGACGUAUACGGUGUGACGCCUGCCCGGUGCCGGAAGGUUAAUUGAUGGGGUUAUCCGUAAGGAGAAGCUCUUGAUCGAAGCCCCGGUAAACGGCGGCCGUAACUAUAACGGUCCUAAGGUAGCGAAAUUCCUUGUCGGGUAAGUUCCGACCUGCACGAAUGGCGUAAUGAUGGCCAGGCUGUCUCCACCCGAGACUCAGUGAAAUUGAACUCGCUGUGAAGAUGCAGUGUACCCGCGGCAAGACGGAAAGACCCCGUGAACCUUUACUAUAGCUUGACACUGAACAUUGAGCCUUGAUGUGUAGGAUAGGUGGGAGGCUUUGAAGCGUGGACGCCAGUCUGCGUGGAGCCAACCUUGAAAUACCACCCUUUAAUGUUUGAUGUUCUAACGUUGGCCCCUUACCGGGGUUGCGGACAGUGUCUGGUGGGUAGUUUGACUGGGGCGGUCUCCUCCCAAAGCGUAACGGAGGAGCACGAAGGUUAGCUAAUCCUGGUCGGACAUCAGGAGGUUAGUGCAAUGGCAUAAGCUAGCUUGACUGCGAGCGUGACGGCGCGAGCAGGUGCGAAAGCAGGUCAUAGUGAUCCGGUGGUUCUGAAUGGAAGGGCCAUCGCUCAACGGAUAAAAGGUACUCCGGGGAUAACAGGCUGAUACCGCCCAAGAGUUCAUAUCGACGGCGGUGUUUGGCACCUCGAUGUCGGCUCAUCACAUCCUGGGGCUGAAGUAGGUCCCAAGGGUAUGGCUGUUCGCCAUUUAAAGUGGUACGCGAGCUGGGUUUAGAACGUCGUGAGACAGUUCGGUCCCUAUCUGCCGUGGGCGCUGGAGAAUUGAGGGGGGCUGCUCCUAGUACGAGAGGACCGGAGUGGACGCAUCACUGGUGUUCGGGUUGUCAUGCCAAUGGCACUGCCCGGUAGCUAAAUGCGGAAGAGAUAAGUGCUGAAAGCAUCUAAGCACGAAACUUGCCCCGAGAUGAGUUCUCCCUGAGACUUUAAGUCUCCUGAAGGAACGUUAAAGACGAUGACGUUGAUAGGCCGGGUGUGUAAGCGCAGCGAUGCGUUGAGCUAACCGGUACUAAUGAACCGUGAGGCUUAACCUU